AUUGAACGCUGGCGGCAUGCUUUACACAUGCAAGUCGAACGGUAACAGGCCGCAAGGUGCUGACGAGUGGCGAACGGGUGAGUAAUGCAUCGGAACGUGCCCAGUCGUGGGGGAUAACGCAGCGAAAGCUGUGCUAAUACCGCAUACGAUCUAUGGAUGAAAGCGGGGGACCGUAAGGCCUCGCGCGAUUGGAGCGGCCGAUGUCAGAUUAGCUAGUUGGUGGGGUAAAGGCCCACCAAGGCGACGAUCUGUAGCUGGUCUGAGAGGACGACCAGCCACGCUGGGACUGAGUCACGGCCCAGACUCCUACGGGAGGCAGCAGUGGGGAAUUUUGGACAAUAGGCGCAAGCCUGAUCCAGCAAUGCCGCGUGCAGGAAGAAGGCCUUCGGGUUGUAAACUGCUUUUGUACGGAACGAAACGGUCUGGGUUAAUACCCUGGGCUAAUGACGGUACCGUAAGAAUAAGCACCGGCUAACUACGUGCCAGCCGCCGCGGUAAAAC
rnacentral:rRNA from 1 species